CCCUCCUGCACUCUAGCCCUGCAGUUUCAAACGCAGUUCCUCGGUUAAGCCGAGGGAUUUCACAUCUGACUUACAGAGCCGCCUACGCGCCCUUUAUGCCCAGUAAUUCCGAACAACGCUUGCCAUCUACGUAUUACCGCUGCUGCUGGCACGUAGUUAGCCAUGGCUUCCUCUGAGGCUGGUCAAACAAAGGCGGUGUUAACACCUCUG
rnacentral:rRNA from 1 species